rnacentral:lncRNA from 1 species
AUGAAAGAGGUAGAUAAUCUCGAAAGUAUAAAAGAAGAUGGGUUUGUGAAACAGUAUCUGACAAUCAAUCUCUCAGUGAUAAUCAACAAAUUGUGAAUAUUUUGUUGAUAGCCUUUUUGAAGAAGCUCAGAAGGUUGGCUCCAACUGCUUGUCUCCCACUGAACAGAAAAAGCAGGUGGAUGUAAAUAUGAAAGUAUGGAAAAUGAAAUCACAGUCAGUGAUGAUUUCCCAACAGUGCAAGUCAGCAAUUUUUGAACUCCAUCAAAAAAAGGGGAAUUACCUUCAGAAUUACAGAGAAGUUUUUAUAAAGAGGUGAAUGUUUAAGUUGAAGACCAGAUAAAUGAAAUAUGUAUGUCUACGCAGCCUGAGUUCCAGCCCUUUUCAAGACAGAGUCACAGACUAGGAAGUGCCACAGCAAAAUUGUUUCUAAAGCAAAGAGUAUUGAAAUUAAAAAUAAAAGUAAUUUGUCUGCUGUUCUGCUGAACAACUUGGAACGUACUAAUAUACAGAUCUGGUUAGCCAAGGAUUGUCCAGAAAUUUAACAUUUCUCACAGGGUAAGCCAUAUAAAGUCUUCAUUAAAAAAACCAGGGAUCUCAAAGAAGUCUCCCCUUUUCCCUCCUGCAAAUUCAACCAAGUAGUUGUUUCCCUGACAGCUUCUGUGCCAGAUGAGGUCUUUGCUAGAGCAGACGAAUAUUUCUUCACGUACAUGGCACAAAGGCAUUGCUUUGGUGAAUGGAAAUGAGU